rnacentral:tRNA from 1 species
GGGGAUGUGGCUGAAUGGUACGGGACUUGCCUGGUGUGCAGGAGACCCUGGCUUUGACUGCUAGCAUCGCAA